ensembl:lncRNA
CAUUUAUCUAUCUGAUAUUCCUACAACAUUGCCAUAAGCUUCCCUGGUGGCUGAGCAAAGAAUCCCCCUGCAAUGCAGGAGACCUGGCUUCAAUCCCUGCACUGGGAAGACCCCUUGGAGAAGGGCAUGGCAACCCACUCCAGUAUUCUUGCUUGGAGAAUCCCCAUGGACAGAGGAGCUUGGUGGGCUAUAGUCUAUGGGGUCGCAAAGGGUCAGACAUGACUGAAUGACUAACAGGCACAGCACAACAUUAUCGUACUGCUUAAUUACUCUGACUUUGUAAUAGCUUUUAAAAUCCAAUAAAGCAAUCCUCUUCUUUUUCUUCUUUUAUAAAAAAUGUCUAUUCUCAUGUGUAUGGCUUAGAUAAAAUUUAAAAUCAACUUGUCUGUUCUUUUAAUCAGAAAUUUUAUUGAAAUUGCAUAAGAAUUAUAAACUAAUUCGAGGAAGAACUGAAAUCUUCACAAUAUUUAGCAAUCCCAAGCAGAGGAGUAAUUUAUUUGAUGUACUUCAGUAUGUUUCUAAACAGGUCUUAGAUAUUUCUUAUGAAUAAGUCAUUGUAUUUUCAGUUUUGUGGGAGAUUUAUGCUUUGUUUUCUUUUUGCUAUGGUGAAUGGAAUAAUUUUCAUUUUAUAUUUUUAACCUGUUACUACUAUUAUAUGAGAAAACUAGCUUGUGUCUGGGAAUCCUUGCAAAGUCUCUUAUUGUUUCUAUUAAGUAAUCAGCUGGGUCUCUUGGAUUUUCCAUUUAAUAACGGCUUUAUUUAUUACCAAAAUAAAGCAUGUCUCUUGUAGAAAAUGAAAACAUACAAAAGGAAAGAAACAAGCAAUAUCUGUAAAAUCUACCCUUCAGAUGUAGUCAUUCUUUACCUUGUGAUGAAUGCCCUUCAAAAAACUACUGGGCUUCAUUUUAAAACCACAUUGCUCGCAGAACAUUUCCAAAUCUCCUGAAUCAUGCAGAAAGGGAGGAUCCUUGGCUUAAUGUGUGUGAGAUUCUCCAAAACCGGUUACCAUCUUCUUGCAAGUGAUUGGACCCCAUGUGGGAUGCACACUCUGUUUACAACCCACUUGAGAUAAAUACAUUUGCAUGUUUCUGUAUUUGACAACAUUUACCUAGCAAAAGCAGAGUCUUUGUUUCCACUUGUAUCUCUGGUUCUCAGACUCAUGUGCUCAGUGUUAGCACUUGACUUUCUUUGGAGAUUUUUUAUUUGGACAGAGUUUUGAAAUAAAACAUUUGUGAAAGAUGGGAAGCGGAGAGAGUUGAGGGUGCCCAGGAAUUUUGUUCCGGGCUUUUGGCCACCCAACAGGAAGACAUCUGAAUGGAAAAGGGAAAGUUCCCUUUGUUUUCUGGACCUCUCAUUGGGACACAUGGGGGUCUCGCAGACACUGGUUUCAAUUGCCCAUUCCAUAAGUCACAUGACUUCAUCCUCCAGUCUUGGGAAAGAAGACUUGCCCAGAGCAGAUGACUUGAGGCUGUGUGUGUUCAGGAAAUGUCAUUCAGUUCAGUUCAGUCACUCAGUCGUGUCCAGCUCUUUGCAACCCCAUGAACUGCAGCACGCCAGGCCUCCCUGUCCAUCACCAACUCCCAGAGUCCAUCCAAAUCCAUGUCCAUUGAGUCGGUGAUGCCAUCCAGCCAUCUCAUCCUCUGUCAUCCCCUUCUCCUCCUGCCCCCAAUCCCUCCCAACAUCAGGGUCUUUCCAAACGAGUCAGCUCUUUGCAUCAGGUGCCAAAGUAUUGGAGUUUCAGCUUCAACAUCAGUCCCACCAAUGAACACUCAGGACUGAUCUCCUUUAGGAUGGACUGGUUGGGACUCCUUGCAGUCCAAGGGACUCUCAAGAGUCUUCUCCAAGACCACAGCUCAAAAGCAUCAAUUCUUCGGCGCUCAGCUUUCUUUAUAGUCCAACUCUCACAUCCAUACAUGACCACUGGAAAAACCAUAGCCUUAACUAGAUGGACUUUUAUUGACAAAGUAAUGUCUCUGCCUUUCAAUAUACUAUUUAGGUUGGUCAUAACUUUCCUUCCAAGGAAUAAGCGUCUUUUAAUUUCAUGACAUUAACUCAUCACAAAAAGGACUUUGCUGGGGGCAGUGAAGGACACGAAAAUGAAGCAUAGCUCCUGCCCUUAAGGAGUUUGAAGUCAAGCUUGACAUGAAGUAGAACAUGACAAGGAAAAGCAAAAACAUUCAGGGAGUUCAGAGAAGGCAGAGGUCACUGCCAGGUGAGGAGGGGUGUAAGAAAAGAUGGAGAAGAUGAUCUUGGAACCAGGUCCAGCUGGUGAGCACGCUUUGGACCUACACAGAGGAAGGAGGAAGGGAAUUCUAGGUUGAAAACACAGUGAGAGUCACAGGACAGGUGUGAGAAACCAUGCAGGGAAGUGUGGAGGCAUGACAGACAAUUCAGGACCCGCGGAACACAGUUGGUGUAAAGAGAAGCACGAUUGGGGAAGAGAGAUUGACACAAGCGUGUGAGGAGUCGAGUGCCAGCGUAAGGAGUGAAGUCUCCAGGGAAUGCUCCCCCUUCAUGUCCCCAAAAUUGUUCUCAUCACAUCACCACAUUUGUCUGAAAUAGGGAGAAUAUAUGUAUGUAUAUUGGAGAAGGCCCUGGCACCCCACUCCAGUUCUCUUGCUUAGAAAAUCCCAUGGAUGGAGGAAC